rnacentral:rRNA from 1 species
GUCCUACGGGAGGCAGCAGUAGGGAAUCUUCCACAAUGGGCGAAAGCCUGAUGGAGCAACGCCGCGUGGGUGAAGAAGGUCUUCGGAUCGUAAAAUCCUGUUGUUAGAGAAGAAAGUGCGUGAGAGUAACUGUUCACGUUUCGACGGUAUCUAACCAGAAAGCCACGGCUAACUACGUGCCAGCAGCCGCGGUAAUACGUAGGUGGCAAGCGUUAUCCGGAUUUAUUGGGCGUAAAGGGAACGCAGGCGGUCUUUUAUGUCUGAUGUGACAGCAUUUGGAUUAACCGGAGUAGAG